rnacentral:rRNA from 1 species
AUUGAACGCUGGCGGCAGGCCUAACACAUGCAAGUCGAACGAGUGGCGGACGGGUGAGUAAUGCUUGGGAAUCUAGCUUAUGGAGGGGGAUAACUACGGGAAACUGUAGCUAAUACCGCGUACCAUAGGAUGAGCCCAAGUGGGAUUAGGUAGGUGUUGAGGUAAAGGCUCACCAAGCCGACGAUCCCUAGCUGGUCUGAGAGGAGGAUCAGCCACACGGGGACUGAGACACGGCCCCGACUCCUACGGGAGGCAGCAGUGGGGAAUAUUGCACAAUGGGCGGAAGCCUGAUGCAGCCAUGCCGCGUGGAUGAAGAAGGCCUUCGGUUUGUAAAGUACUUUCAGGCGGGAGGCGUUACCGACAGAAGAAGCACCGGCUAACUCCGUGCCAGCCGCCGCGGUAAUAC